CUAUGUACGGAAUGGAUAAGCGCUGAAAGCAUCUAAGCGCGAAGCCAACUUCAAGAUAAGAUUUCCCACCGCAAGGGUAAGACCCCAGAAAGACUAUCUGGUUGAUAGGUCGAAGGUGUAAGUGCAGUAAUGUAUUUAGCUUAUCGAUACUAAUAGGUCGAGGACUUGACCAAU
rnacentral:rRNA from 1 species